rnacentral:rRNA from 1 species
GCUGACUGUAGCGUAACUGACGCUGAUGCUCGAAAGCGUGGGUAUCGAACAGGAUUAGAUACCCUGGUAGUCCACGCGGUAAACGAUGGAUGCUCGCUGUUUGCCUUAUUUGGUAAGUGGCCAAGCGAAAGCAUUAAGCAUCCCACCUGGGGAGUACGCCGGCAACGGUGAAACUCAAAGGAAUUGACGGGGGCCCGCACAAGCGGAGGAACAUGUGGUUUAAUUCGAUGAUACGCGAGGAACCUUACCCGGGCUUGAACUGCCAGCGGACGAUUCAGAGAUGAUGAGGCCCUUCGGGGCGCUGGUGGAGGUGCUGCAUGGUUGUCGUCAGCUCGUGCCGUGAGGUGUCGGCUUAAGUGCCAUAACGAGCGCAACCCUUUUCCCCGGUUGCCAUCAGGUAGUGCUGGGCACUCCGUGGAUACUGCCACCGCAAGGUGUGAGGAAGGUGGGGAUGACGUCAAAUCAGCACGGCCCUUACGUCCGGGGCUACACACGUGUUACAAUGGCGCGUACAGAGAGCCGGUCCCUGGCAACAGGGGUCAAAUCCAUAAAACGCGUCGUAGUUCGGAUUGGGGUCUGCAACCCGACCCCAUGAAGCUGG